GUGAAUCAUCGAAUCUUUGAACGCACAUUGCGCCCCUUGGCAUUCCGGGGGGCAUGCCUGUUCGAGCGUCAUUAAUACCAAUCUAGCCCGGCUAGGUGUUGGGCCUCGCCGUCUGGCGGGCCUUAAAAUCAGUGGCGGUGCUCCUCAGCUCUACGCGUAGUAAUUCUUCUCGCUAUAGGGCCUGUGGAGAUGCUUGCCAGCAACCCCAAAUUUUUCAGGUUGACCUCGGAUCAGGUAGGGAUACCCGCUGAACUUAAGCAUAUCAAUAAGCGGAGGA
rnacentral:misc_RNA from 1 species